GGCCCUCUUUCUGUCUUUUUGAUGCUCCUCUUCACCUUUCUGUUUCUCUGGCGUCUCACCGAUCACAGGCUCUUUCAUCUCCUGGUUAUAACAAGAAUGCAGUCAGCACGUGCUGAUUAAACUCUUAAACUAAAAGGGAUUUUCACCUUGCUGCUCCAUGCUGUGUGUUUGUGUUUCAAACAGGCACAUUACAAUCACCUCCAUGAAUGGCUGAACCACAAAUGGGAUUUCAUUGUGAUGCAAGCAGCUGAACAGUAUAAGGCUGGCAAAGAGAGGAAGAAGCCAGAUCGCGUGGUGUUUGACUGCCAGGAGAGGGCGUACUGGAUGGUGAACAGGCCUCCGCGUUGUGCUCACAGUGCCAUGGACUGUGGUCCAGAGAGGCUCAUUGACCCAAACACAGAUGAGGUGAAAGGUCAGUAAACAUAGAAACCCACAAACAGGUGUGGAGCCACGACAGUGUUACAUGAUUACAUGAACUUAAAAUCCUUUUUCUGGAGACGCAGUCUGACCUUAUAAAGCGCUGUAUGAGUGAAAAAUGGCUUGUAAAUGCCAUUUAAAUACCAUGAUACUGUAAAUACUCUAAAUACUGUAAAUACCCAUUUAAAUACCAUGAUACUGUAAAU